CUUCACAGAAUGAAGCACUCUGCCUAGAAGACUGUGCCACACAAUUGCAGUGACUUCAGAUGAAUGAGGCAAAAAUUAUAAGCAGAGACUGGGGGAAGCCUACCCUAUCAUCUGUGCCUACAUGUAUACCUAGGAAAGUACAGAAGAAGCUAGUGGGAGUGUAUUCUUAUCGAUAUGAUGAACUAUGGUGCAGUUGGUGAUAACCAAGUGAGAGACUGGUAGUGUGCACCUCUUGCCAGCCUCAAAGUCUCCUUUGGUCUCCAGGCAUAAAGCCAGCAUUGAUUCCAGCACAGGAUAACAGUAUGAUUCAUCUGUGGUUUCCUGAAAGAAGCCUUAAUUUUGCUUACACUUUUACACUGAAAUUCUCCAAGCUGCAACUUAGGGGUAGGUCAGCUGCAGUAACUUGACUGAUGUUUCUGUUACUCUGAGACCUUUCAUGGUUUUUAAGGAUCAAGAAGAUGUCUUUGCAGCUUGGUACAUAGUUCCUAGCUUUUCCUUGCAGUCAUGAAAAGAAGAAAGUUCUUUUUUUAAAAGAAGCAAAGGUUUAAGUAAGUUUCUGUAACUUCAGGAACUGGGAGAGGACACAUCCAUUUGAAAUCCUUAUGGUUUAUCUCUCCUUGGUGAGGCUCAUAUAAUUUCAGGAUUGUUUGCUGCUCAUAUUCUCUAGGUUAAAAAAAAAAUUAAAAAAAAUUAUACCCUUUGAAAUGUAUGAGAUCUGGUUAAAUAUUUUUUGCGUAACGCAAUUUUUAUAGUGCAAGUUUAGGAAGAAGGUUUACACAUUGAUUCUCCUCUGAGUGAGAGAGAUGUGAAUACAUGAUGUCAAUUUAACUCAAACACAGCAACACGUAGCAUGGCUUUCCAUUUUAACAGAAGAGAUCUCUGAAAGAUUUCUGACAGAACUCAGUCUCCAUGCACAAAAGAAGCUGAAGGAUGUUUUUUCAUUCAGUGAAUUCACAAGCUGUAAAAGAGCACAGAGGUGGGACAAGAAGAAAGCCUGCAAGUAAGCAAAUUUCAUGUUACAUUAACACUUAUU